CAGAGCCCUGCGAGUCAGCCAUCUUGAGGCUUCUCCCUCUAUUUACUCUCUUCCCCGACGGCCGCGGCUGCUGCUGUUUUUUUUUUUCCGCGACGGGCAAGCAGGCUGUGAAUGGGCGGGGCGACGGUUUGAUUGACAGAACAAAACAUGGAAAGAAAAGGAGCACCAACUAUCACUUGUUGAGCGUCACAGGGAAAUCCACCUUUGGAGAAGACGGCCGACAGCAUGGAGGCAACCCAGUGAAUCUACAUCACUUGAGGCCCACCUGCAGAUGGUGACCAAUGCAAACGCACCUGUGGCCAGCAUGAAGGACUCAG